GAUGAACGCUGGCGGCGUGCCUAAUACAUGCAAGUAGAACGCUGAAGGAGGAGCUUGCUCUUCUGGAUGAGUUGCGAACGGGUGAGUAACGCGUAGGUAACCUGCCUGGUAGCGGGGGAUAACUAUUGGAAACGAUAGCUAAUACCGCAUGACAACAGUUAUUGCAUGAUAACUGUUUAAAAGGGGCAACUGCUCCACUACCAGAUGGACCUGCGUUGUAUUAGCUAGUUGGUGAGGUAACGGCUCACCAAGGCGACGAUACAUAGCCGACCUGAGAGGGGGGUCGGCCAAACUGGGACUGAGACACGGCCCAGACUCCUACGGGAGGCAGCAGUAGGGAAUCUUCGGCAAUGGACGGAAGUCUGACCGAGCAACGCCGCGUGAGUGAAGAAGGUUGUCGGAUCGUAAAGAUCUGUUGUAAGAGAAGAACGAGUGUGAGAGUGGAAAGUUCACACUGUGACGGUAUCUUACCAGAAAGGGACGGCUAACUACGUG
rnacentral:rRNA from 1 species